GAUGAACGCUGGCGGCGUGCUUAACACAUGCAAGUCGAACGGAAAGGCUCCUCCCUGCUGGGGUACUCGAGUGGCGAACGGGUGAGUAACACGUGGGUGAUCUGCCCUGUACUUCGGGAUAAGCUUGGGAAACUGGGUCUAAUACCGGAUAUGACAAUCUCUUGGAUGGGGUUGUGGAAAGCUUUUGCGGUAUGGGAUGGGCUCGCGGCCUAUCAGCUUGUUGGUGGGGUAAUGGCCUACCAAGGCGUCGACGGGUAGCCGGCCUGAGAGGGUGUACGGCCACAUUGGGACUGAGAUACGGCCCAGACUCCUACGGGAGGCAGCAGUGGGGAAUAUUGCACAAUGGGCGCAAGCCUGAUGCAGCGACGCCGCGUGGGGGAUGACGGCCUUCGGGUUGUAAACUCCUUUCGCAACCGACGAAGCGUUUGUGACGGUAGGUGGAGAAGAAGCACCGGCUAACUACGUG
rnacentral:rRNA from 1 species